AUUUAAGGGCUGACUGCCAGGGGGUAAGGUUCUUUUUUUUUUUGGAGAUACCUUCAAGCAUAGACUCUUAAUUUGGCAUAUAUGCUUACCAUACCAAUCCACAUAGUGUGUCCCCUGCAGUGUGGUUGAGGAAGCACUGGGAAGAGGAGCUGCUGCCUUUUGGUCUCUGAAAGACAAGAAGAAAAGAAAUAAAGAUGAACAAGAAGGUUGGAAGAAUGAGUGAAGAUGGAAGACCGCACAGAAACUGUUUCUCAUUAUCCCUUGUUGGAGACUACUCCCCUUCACCUGCUGGGUGCAGAAGUAUGAUGGAGAAGAUCAGUAAUUUCACCUGCAUGUGCCAGCAGGGUUCAUAAAACAAUUGCACAGAGCUAGAAGAUCUGAGCCCUCCUCUGGUGAGGUAUGGAAAUAAUGCCUUCCUUAGUGGGCCUAACUGUUAGUAGAAAAGCAGUUACGAAUGGUCUCCAAACAAAACCUCCAGAUUCCAAGACAUAACUAAAGCCCCACUGAAGUGUCUGUCAUGCAAACAGCAACCCCAUUCCUUGCUCAGGACUUGCAGCUCCUGCUGUAGAUGGUAUAGCUCUAAAUUCAUACUAGUUUCAGAUGCUUCCCAAUAGGUUUUGUCUUGAGUGAUGCAGCAUAAAGUUGUUUGUACUACUGAUAUAUACACUGUAAGUGGAGGUACAAGCUAGAAUCGUUAUACUGCUUCAUUGAAGUAGGAACAUCAAAUGGGUUCACAGUCUCCUGGUAUACUGUUCAUACAUAUUAUGGGGCCGUUAGCUUCCAUAAUUAAGCCCUGUUUUCCCUGUAUGUGCAGGAAAGGUAGGAGUUGAUAAUUGGUUAUCUAAAAGGGACAUUUCAUAUUGUGUAUCUUAAUACAUAAGAUACUUUUUGAGGCUUUCACAAACCUAAAUACAGACAAAAUGCCUACAUAUGAAUGCUACUAUAUUGUUUGGAAUACUUUGAUAUUUUUUCCUGUAAAUCAGCCUCUUGUAUUUUAUUCAUGUGAAAUAACAGUUCAGUAUUCUGUAAACUAUUCCAUUGUGUAUUCUAACUGGUC
rnacentral:lncRNA from 1 species